rfam:Triticum aestivum genome assembly, contig: Triticum_aestivum_CS42_TGACv1_scaffold_621703_7DS
GAAUCCAUGGCUGAAUUGUGAAAGCACCCAGCAACCCAGAAAGGCAAAAUGGGUCAAAAAGUAGGUUCGAUUCCUGCCGGAUGCA